GUGUCAGAAGCAAAACCUGAAUCAGCUUCGCCUUUUGUUCUUCCUCAGCAUUCUAAGUCUUGGUUCAAGAAUCAUCAAACAGUGGAGAUUGUUUCUCCCAAACUAUAAGCAAAAUUCAGUACACGCACCGGGGGACUUUCCCAAUUAUGGCAGAGGAAUCUCAAUGCUCUCCUUUCACUAUGUUCCUUCUUUCUUGAAAGACAUUCCCUGUGACUCAGCAUCUGGGCAGCCACAAGGCCUAGAACAGGGAGGUCCUCGAGGUCAAACAGAUGUCAGCAGGUGCCUCCCAGGGGCUCCUCCAAGUCCUGAUACACUGAGAAGCUGCUCCCAACAUGGGCAUCCUGAGGACGGCCUCAUCCCUCCACACUCCCUACUAGGAGAUACCAGAGCAGAAGGAGGCUUUACGAAUCCCUUUGGCCAAAGAGAAGUGGGAGUGCAGACAGAGGAAGUGAUGGCCCAAAGGCACACAACCUCUGCGGAGGCCCGGAUGACUCCCCGCCACCCACCCUCUCUAUGCUGCAACUCUAUCACCAGCACCUUUUCCCCAGCAAUAAAGCAAAAAUGCCUCUUUAUAUCCCUUUUUUUUUUCUUUUUUUUAAAGACCUUAUUUAUUCAUGAGAGACAGAGAAAGAGGCUGACACAGGCAGAGGGAAGAGCAGGCUUCAUGCAGGGAGCCCGAUGUGGGACCCGAUCCCAGGUCUCCAGGAUCACGCCCUGGGCUGAAGGCAGGUGCUAAACCUCUGAACCACCCGGGGAUCCCUACAUCCCCCGUUCCUCCCAAAAUCAGACAGCACGUUACACGAGGUUGGGGAUAAACCAGGGUGGUAGAGGGGGUAAGCCCUGAGCUGCCAUGCAGGCCAGCCUUUGGGGGCAGCAUUCGAGGGCGGUUGACCACCCAGGCUCCCCAACCUAUCAUCCCACUCCCUGAAUUCCUAACCUCUGGCCUAGUCUCCUCAUUCUUGAGAACAAGAGUGUGAUACCAGUUUCUUGAUGGAAAUGGCGUAUGGUUUUAAGACAAUGCUGCACAUCAAACAUCAUCACGCAGGCCGACGUGAGUGUUAUCGACCAUACCCAGGGAAGGGCUGCUGGGGGCAGGAGAGGUAGCGGCCAGGGUAGUAGUUGUGGCGAUGCUAGUACCCAUCACAACGGUGGAGACAGCAGCAGUAGCCACGGUCCCAGAAGAGAUGGUGGCCAUAGCAGUAGCAACAGUCAGAGCAGGAACAAAAAUGUUGUUCUUAGCAGGGCUGACGGCUCUCGGGAGCUCCAGCCAAAGGAGAGGGGGUGAAGCGAGAAGACCUGCAUACCAUGGCUCGUACAGAGCACACAUCCCUGCCCACGAAUGGACGGGGGUAGAGGCACCAAGGUAAUACCAACUGGGUACAAAAGCCACUCACAACAGAACGUGUGCCCUCUGCGGGGGGCGGUGAAGAAAGCUCACCGUCACAGGCCUGCUGCUGGGGCACUCUGCCGAAUUAGCCAUUUCCAGAAGUCCACCGAACUUCUGAUUUACAAACUUCCUUUCCAGUGUCUGGUGUGAGACGUUGCUCAGGACUUCAAAACAGAUGCACUUCCAGGGUACGGAAGUGAGGCAAGCCAGGCCCACCCGGUGCGCCUUUCUAAGACACCGUUAGCUGGAACCCAGCGGGUAGCUACUGGGCUAAGAGGGCUGCAAGCGGGCGUUAGCAGAAGGGGAGAUGGGGAAGGAACUGAGGCAGGAAGGAAUGUUUCCCA
rnacentral:lncRNA from 12 species